rnacentral:rRNA from 1 species
AUGGCGCAGCGGCAAUGGGCGUCGCUGUCGAAGGCUAGGGGUAGCCGCGGGGCGGCUCUACGGUCGACGGCCUCUGGCUGCGGACGAGGGGAAGGGGAGAUGGACCCGGGGCGUCGGGGGACUCGCGCGGCAGCAGCGACGACGAGCCCGGCGGCCUCCCCGACCUCGGCCCUGGCGCAAGCAGCGGCGGUCGCACCUCCCCUUCACCAUCCUCCCUCCUCUCUCUUUCCUGAGCAGGCGGCGUGCAUCCCGGCGGCCUCCCCGACUUCGGCCCUGGAGCAAGCAGUGGCGCCGCCUCGCGCAACACGAGCACGAGCCUUGGCGCGGUGCACAUCACAAGAGCAAGCAGCAGCGCGGCGGCGCAUAGCAUGGGCACAAGAAGCAGUUUCAGCGCGAAAGCAGCAGCAACGGUGCGGCGGCGCACAGCCCCGAAGCAAGCAGCGGCGGCGGCCCGGCGGCGCGCAACACGGGCGCAACCAAGCAGCCACCCUCGUCGGUGAGCUCCACCGCUGCCGAGGCAUCGGGCGUGGGCGGCAGCGCACGAGCGCGGGAUGGCCGGCGGUAGAGUAA